GAAAGCAGGGGAUCGUAAGACCUUGCGCUUUUGGAGCGGCCGAUGUCUGAUUAGCUAGUUGGUGGGGUAAAGGCCUACCAAGGCUACGAUCAGUAGUUGGUCUGAGAGGACGGCCAGCCACACUGGGACUGAGACACGGCCCAGACUCCUACGGGAGGCAGCAGUGGGGAAUUUUGGACAAUGGGCGCAAGCCUGAUCCAGCAAUGCCGCGUGAGUGAAGAAGGCCUUCGGGUUGUAAAGCUCUUUCAGUCGAGAAGAAAAGGCUGCGAUGAAUAAUCGCAGUUCAUGACGGUACCGGCAGAAGAAGCACCGGCUAACUACGUGCCAGCAGCCGCGGUAAUACGUAGGGUGCGAGCGUUAAUCGGAAUUACUGGGCGUAAAGGGUGGCAGGCGGCUUUGUAAGUCAGAUGUGAAAUCCCCGGGCUUAACCUGGGAAUUGCGUUGAAACUACAAAGCUCA
rnacentral:rRNA from 1 species